CAGCCGAGACCUCUCUCUGGGCAGCAGCAAGGCCACACCCCCUCCCUCAUUCCCAGGACAGGACAGCAUCAGUGUCAGGAAGCCUUUGCUGAACACGUGAUUGAGUGUGACGGCAGGGGAGGAAUGUGACAAGUGGGCAGAUCCCAGAGGCUCUGCCUGUGAGGGUCAGCUCAGCCCGCAUUUCUCAGGGGCCCACAGGGGAGAUGCUGCUCUGGCGGCGCCUCCAAACCCCGGUCUUGUUCCCUCUAGAUAAGGUUCUGACGUUGCUCCCAGCGGCAGCUGGAGGCCACCCUCAGCAUCCAUCCCCAGGUCCGGACCAGCCAGCUGGCCCACUGAUGUCCUGUGCUGGUCACUGGGGAGGAAAGAUGUCCCAGCCUUGAGGUCUGGACUCAGCCCCUGAAGAGGACGCUCAUCCAGAGUCCCAGGCUGCAGAGCCACAGCCCUCAGGGUCCCAUGGGAGUCGGGCCCUGCCUGCCAGUGCCUCCUCCGAACGGCAGAGCCACAGCUCCUUGUGUCUCCACUCCUGUUCCACCCCUUCUGGAUCCCGCACCCGAGGCCAUCCCUGCCAGCCAGACGAACGUCAGGAGCCAUCUGCUGCCUGAGCCAGCGCAGCUGCUGGGAACGUGCUUGCGUCCAUGUUCUGUCCCCACUGACCGUCCACCCCUGGAGGGAGGCGUGGCCCCGUGACCGGCUUUGGCCAGUGGAUUUGACAGGUGAGAGGGGCCACAUCCCCGUGAAAGCAUCCGAGAACCGGUGUCUUCAUCUUCCCUUCCCCUGUGGCCUCCAGAGGUUGGGUCCCCAAAUGAGGCUGGCGUGGAGCAGAGCCCAGCCCGUGAUGGACAGGGAGUGAGAGUGACAGCCUUUGUGGGUUUAGGCACAGAUUUGGGGCUGUUUGUCACCACCACAUCGUUCACCCCCUCCUGCUGCCGGGCGCACUGAAGAGCCACACCCCACAAGGGCUGGACUCUCCGCUGAGACGAGUCGUGGGAUUUGGGCACGAAGCUGGCAGUGUGUCACAGAGGCUCGUGACCGGGAGGUGAGAACCUGCCCGCUGGCAGCCGUCCUGCAGCCUCUCAAAGCCCAGCCCUCCCGGCUGGUGUCCACCGAGGCCGCAGAGCCUUUCUGAGAAACACACGUCAGGAUGCAAUCGUGCAACAUGGAGCCGCCUGAAACACCAAGUUCGCGGGUAUGUGUGAGUGUCUUUGUGUCUUCCCUCUCUUUUCCAUCGGAAGAACAUAAGCUCAGGACAGUGACGGCCCUGGAAUGAGAACAGAAUGGGACUGGGAAACUUGUUUCUUCAUUUUCUGUCCCCGCCUCCUUACACCGGUCUCUUUGAAAAGCUGAAGGCAACACCCAAGCGCCUCCAGGACUACAGCUCCACUGGGCAGUCCCCUGCUAAAGCUGUAGCCCUCUCUGGGCUCUGGUACUGCUGUUUUCUCCCCUUGCCCGUUGGGCCUUGAGGGUGUAACAGCGUCUGCUGCGGCCAGCUCCUGAGUGCCUCGGCGUCCCUCGUUGGUUCCCUUGAACUUGUCCACGUCUCUGUAAAUCGUCCUUCACUAAACAGCUUUAAAAGUGAUGGCGCCAGUCACAGUGAUUAGUUGCAGAUGACAGAAUACUCUUUCUGGUUUGAGCAGAGGGGAAUCUGUUCAUGGGUGCUAGGACUGAAAUGCCAGGACUACCAGGAGACCAAGCUUGGAUGCCCCAUGGCCACGGACAACACUAACAGUCACCUGGACAAUCACUAACCCCACCCUUGACUGUUGCCAUGGAAACCCACUGCCUGUGAUGCUCAGGCCCAGACACUGGAGCAUGCUGCUGUGGGAGAACCGGACCCUCUGUUCCCUGCCAGCCAGGAGCCCCAUCCUCUACCGCCUUGGGUGGCUCACUUCCACCUUUUAAAUCUCGGGCAGGCAUCUGUCCAGAGGAGCUGAGGCCACUGGCAGAACCCUGGCUGCAAGAGAGUCAGGGAGAUGCAGGUUUCAGUUUUUCCAGAGACUCCCAUGCAGCCAAGCACAGAAGGAGGGGCUGGCACACAUGUUGAGUGAGUCAGCCCGUAUGGUCCGCCAGAGAAGUCAGAUAAGAGUGACAAAAAUGAUCAUUGCACCCUUGACCUCCCGAAGGCCACGUGAAGCCUCAGUUAUCUACUGUGUUACAAGGAGGACAGUGAGUGGCUCUCUUCGUCCCGGGAGCACUGGUUCUCAGAGCCCAUCGCCCUAGCCUCCUCAGUGCACACUGGCCUUCCAGCCACCAGCACUGUCUGCCUGGGGACUUUCCUUACUGCUGGAGACUCCUUGGCCCCCUUGGUGACAGGCUCAAGUGUGGAAAUCUGCUACCCCCAGGAGCACCUUCAGCUGGUACCCCAGCUGCCUCACCCCUUGGAUGGGAGAGCUCUGGCAGUGUGGUCUGUCCUGGCUGCCAGGGCUCCCUGGUGGACUGGGCUUCUGUUGCCCACAGUGGUAGGUGUCCAAAGUCGAGCCCCACAGUGCUGGGCAGCUUGAUAGUAGCCAUCACUAGCCAACAUCUCUUCCUUCUCUCACUUCCCGACCCUCCUGCCUCUGCCUCCCAGAUAGACUCCCGCUCAACAAUCCUCCUCUCCAGGUCUGCGUCUGGCACCUCACAAGCUGAGGCAUCCAUUGCCUAACCAUGAGGACAUGGAAAGCCUUGUCCCGGCUCUGGAAGUCCUGCUGGGGACAGUCCCUGGGCCAUGAGUUAACAGGUGUGAGGCUGCUGCUGUGACCUUGCACCUACUCACUCCAGUUUGGAAGGUCGUCCUGUUCCUGGUUCUCAUCCUCGUGGGCAGGAACCCAGAGGGCUCCAGGACGCUCUCAGCUGCCCGGUGCCCCACCCAAUGCUGAGGCCAGGACCACGUGUGCACACAGGCAUCAUCCACCCCAGGAUUCUGCCCGACCCUCUCUACCUCUUCUCCCCACAUCAUUCAGUGCUGCUUCAGCCCUGGGAUCGGAGGUGAUACUCCAUGAAGUUCAAGGGCAUCCUCUGCAUGUGCCGCCCUUGGUGUAAAUGGGACUCUGCCGUGUGUUGCUGUUAGUGCCAGCUGUUAGGGCCAGCUUUGUCCUGGGUUCACAGAACCAACAGUCCCCUGGAGCCUGCUCUGCUCGGGGCACGAGGAUGCUGGCUCUGGCGCAUGGGGAUGCGUCCUCUACUACAGAUGUCAGCUGCCCUCCUUCACUGCAGGUCUGCCCCUGAGUAGUCACCAACGGCAUAGCGACAGGGAGCUCACAUUCUCAUGUGACACCUUCAGGCGGGAGGGUGAGAGAAGCAGCUUGAUCAGCUGCUCUCUGCCAGGCGUGUGCCUUUUCUCCUUUCAGCAUCUUGGGGGCUAACUGUUACUAUCAUCCCCAGUGCACAGAUGCGGAAACCGAGGUUCCUACAGGUUGGGUGACUCUGAGGUCCCUUGGGGCUGGGGCCAGGGCUGGGACCAGGGAGGCCUGACUCAGGGCCCGUGCUUGUUCCCUGACAUGUUCCCGCCUCUCAGACACGGGACAUCAGUGAUGGGGCUCCUGGUCUGCUGCAUUGCUGCACCUCGGCCAUUUGUCAAGGAGCCUCUGUGCUGUCGUGGCACUGGGGACCUACAGUGAACCUACACAUCCCUUGUCCUCACGGGGGCUUCCUCCUAACGAAGGCAGAGACGGUGAACAGAUGUAAGUAAGACGGCUUCAGGGGCCCUGAGUGAAGGCUGCCACGCAGGGGACAGUGGACAGUCUCUGAGGAGAGGUCUGUCUCCUGCUGGGGGACGAACAACCCCGAGACUGAGCCCCCACAGCAGCCAAUGUUUAUUGUUUUGGUCUCUGUGGGUCAGGAGCCCAAGGGCAGCACAGCUGGGUGGCUCUGACUCAGGGCUCUCGAGGGGUCAGUCAGGAUGUCGGCAGGCGCUGCAUCGUCCCAGGCUGGAAAUCUAUGUCUCUGCUCCCAUGUGCGACUGGUGGCAGGAGGCGUCGGGUCCUCACCACGUGGGCCUCUCCAUAGGGCUGCUCACAGGCAGGGCAGCUGGCUUCCCGGGGAGAGAUGGAGAUGGAGAUCAAGGUGCACACGUGCACAC
ensembl:lncRNA